ensembl:lncRNA
CCGUGACAGACCCCUGGGGCAGCUCCAAAGCCACUUAGCACAGGCAUGGAGCGGGGCCAGGAGGAGAUGCUGGCACCAAAAGAGCAGCUCUAGCAAGUCUAGCGCACCAUUCUGCUAGGGGACAGGUUCGGAUGGGCUCAGACCCCAGCAGCACACAGCUCCCACUUGUGCAGCGCUCUGACCGCCAGCCCUGGGGACAGCACGAGCCUCGUGCUCCCUGCACAGAAGAGCACACGCUGCGUGUGAGCCUCAGAAACCAUCUGUUAGUGACACAAAAACAUGCUGGCAGCGCUCAGCACCGCUUGGCAGGGAAACCUGUAUCAACUGUCUGCAGGCCAAGGUCUAAAGGGCAGUCCACCUCUGGAGACUUCUGCAGCUUUGAGGAGCUCUCAUCUUGCAGCUGGUGGGUGCCCUCGCAGCACAUAGCCCUGGCAGUGCUGCUCCAUGCCUUGAGUGUGCCCCAGGAGGACCAGGGAGGAGAGCAAAUGGAGCACCCCGAGAGGGAUUUAUGGACUGCUCUAUGAACCUCCCAGUGAAGAAGACAGGACAUUGGUGCUCUGAGAACUAAUCCAGAUAAGCACUGUGGCUAGCAGGGCAUUGCAACAUCCAACCCAAAGUUCAUCAGCUCCGUCAUUACCACGCUGAUCUCCAGGCACUGCGGUCAAAGAAACAAAGCCUCUAAUUUCCCUAUCAGAAAGGAAAAGAUCAGCGAUUUUAUCUCCGCACAGUAUGUUUUCAACAGUUAUCAAUGCACUGUGCCUGAGGACAAGGGAUGAGCAGGGCUGUCAGAACCACAGGAGGCAAACCACACGAGAGAAGAGUGGCAGCAGGGAUCUCUCUGGAGCAGCAGUCCAUCCCUGGGAGCACAGCCUUCUAAGCCAGAAACGAUUUUCCCUCACUUUGGGAUAAUACCUCCAUUUUGAAGCAAGCAAGCAGGAUUCUGAACCACAGGCUGUGUCUGUGCUCAGGGCUUUGGUGUCCCUUCUGGAAGCUCAGGCUGGUGAGACUGUCAUACCGAAGCAUACCAACAGAGAGGGCUGGAAACACUCCCACCUCACCCAGCCCUUCCCUGGGAGUUGGCCAGGGCGGCGCUUGUGUCCUGACAGCUUUGUUACAAAGAGCUUCUGAAGCAGCCGGCCAAAAAGUCCAUCUAAAUCUCCUGAUGGUCCUUUUGUGCCGAUGGUCAGAACUGGAAAACAAGCUUUGUACGUUGGUGGGAGCGGAGGAAACGGGCACCUUCCAGGAACACCCCAUGCUGGCCCUUCUGCCCACCAAAGGGUCAUCAAAAACCACAUCCCUGGGAGAAGCGUGCUCUGUACUCCUUGCUGCCAGCUUCUCCACUGGCCGCUGUUAUGUGGAGCCAACUUAUAAAGAUCCCAAGAAGCAGUCUGUGUAAUUACUGCCAAUUACCACCACACAGCUCCACACUGCCUGGAAUGGCCCCUGCAGGGUUCUCCUGUGCAAAGGCAUUUCAGUUCUGUGCAGCCUUUUUAGACCAGCCCUGGCGGGAGCCACGUGGCACUGCGUUUAGAACUUCUGCUUUGAAGGCUGGAUCCGAGUCACGCAGCUUUGUCCCGGGCUGAGAGUUCCAUGCAGUAACUCACGAACCUGCUGCCGUUACUCACCUCAAUGAAGACUUUGUUACAUGGAUGGACUCACUGAACUGCUGCUCUGCAGUGUAAGUGAGGGCUGCGGGGCCAUCCAAAAGCAGCCCUCCCCA